AAGAUGGCGGUACGACGUCUUGUUAUUCGUCGUUCCGUCUAAUUAAGUCACUUCAGUGCGAAUGAAUCAUCAACCACAAUGUCCCAUGGUGUCCCAUGAUGUCCUAUGGCGUGUCUCAUGGUGCGUGACUAUGCGUGACCACUUAACUCUUGUCGACUAACCAAGCGAGCAUGAUUAUUAUACCUGUGUCAGCACCCCAUAGGAAGUUAUUGUGCAAGCGGACUACGGAACAGACAUAACAGAUAAACCGUCCCAUAUGGCCGUCAGUACAGAGUCCUGUAUAGCCAUAGCCCUAGCUAUGGCGUACUGUAUUCCUGUUCGUACGCCAUGCCCUAGCUGCUUCUGUCAUUCUCGUGCUUCGCAACACCAUAAAUCAUGGGGUUUGACGUCACGCGAAUUUCGCGAGGGAGUUGCUGCGUAUCGCGGUGGGUAUUACCAGUGACGCCAAAAGCUCUCAUGACACACCCGUAACUGAUGUACAAAUCUGAGAGAAUAAUCGAGUGAUCGUUAAAGUGUAAAAUUAAACACUUGCGCUGGAAAGACGUGCCAUGCACGUCGAGGUGUUUCUGUAGCAUUUUGUCACGCGGAUCUCAAUUCGUUAUAUUCGAAAUAACGAUCGGACUGGUCGUAUCGUAAAUAAGCAAGUACUUUGAAGUUGAAUUAUUAUUCUCUCUCUCUCAUAUUUGGGGUGUAGAGCUCAACUAGAGAGCACAAGGGUUGAACCGUCCUCGACAAGACGCUUUUGAUGUGGUAGCUGGUACCUAGCUUGGACUUUCAACUGGUUCUCGUUAUAACAGUAUGUGCACAGUUUACGCAUCUGCAGGCGCUUUUAUC